AUUGAACGCUGGCGGCAGGCCUAACACAUGCAAGUCGAACGGUAGCACAGAGAGCUUGCUCUCGGGUGACGAGUGGUGGACGGGUGAGUAAUGUCUGGGAAACUGCCCGAUGGAGGGGGAUAACUACUGGAAACGGUAGCUAAUACCGCAUAACGUCACAAGACCAAAGUGGGGGACCUUCGGGCCUCACACCAUCGGAUGUGCCCAGAUGGGAUUAGCUAGUAGGUGGGGUAAUGGCUCACCUAGGCGACGAUCCCUAGCUGGUCUGAGAGGAUGACCAGCCACACUGGAACUGAGACACGGUCCAGACUCCUACGGGAGGCAGCAGUGGGGAAUAUUGCACAAUGGGCGCAAGCCUGAUGCAGCCAUGCCGCGUGUAUGAAGAAGGCCUUCGGGUUGUAAAGUACUUUCAGCGGGGAGGAAGGCGGUGAAGUUAAUAGCUUCACCGAUUGACGUUACCCGCAGAAGAAGCACCGGCUAACUCCGUGCCAGCAGCCGCGGUAA
rnacentral:rRNA from 1 species